rnacentral:rRNA from 1 species
UCCAGACUCCUACGGGAGGCAGCAGUGGGGAAUAUUGCACAAUGGGGGGAACCCUGAUGCAGCGACGCCGCGUGGGUGAAGGAGUACUUCGGUACGUAAAGCCCUAUCAGCAGGAAAGAAAAUGACGGUACCUGACUAAGAAGCUCCGGCUAACUACGUGCCAGCAGCCGCGGUAAUACGUAGGGAGCAAGCGUUAUCCGGAAUUAUUGGGUGUAAAGGGUGCGUAGACGGGACAGCAAGUUAGUUGUGAAAGCCCUCGGCUUAACUGAGGAACUGCAACUAAAACUAUUGUUCUUGAGUGCAGGAGAGGAAAGCGGAAUUCCUAGUGUAGCGGUGAAAUGCGUAGAUAUUAGGAGGAACACCAGUGGCGAAGGCGGCUUUCUGGACUGUAACUGACGUUGAGGCACGAAAGUGUGGGGAGCAAACAGGAUUAGAUACCCUGGUAUG